GCCAAACAUCCAGCCUAUAUACACCGCAUAUUAGCAACCAUAAAGAUUAUUAAAAUAAAACAUUUUAUUUUCUAAGUAGAGGUGAUCGAAAAAUAUUUAAGCGCUUAAGAGAAAGUACCGCAAGGGAAACAUGAAAUAAAAGUGAAAUAAUUUUUAAGCCCAUAAUAGCAGAGACUAUAACUCGUACCUUUUGCAUAAUGGUCUAGCCAGUCUAAUCAAGCAAAACAAAAAUUUCAGUUUGCCUCCCCGAAACUAAGCGAGCUACUUCAAAACAGCCCUAAGAGCUAACCCAUCCCUGUAGCAAUAGGGUGGGAAGAUUUUCAAGUAGAGGUGAUAAGCCUAUCGAGCUUAGAGAUAGCUGGUUAUUCAGAAAAAGAAUCUUAGUUCUGCCUUAAAAUUUACUAUGUCUCACAACAAAUUUAAGAGUUAAUCAAUUAAGGUACAGCCUAAUUGAAAAAGGAUACAACCUAGAAUACAGGGUAAGCACUUAAUACUUCAACAAGUGGGCCUAAAAGCAGCCACCUUUAAAAAAGCGUUAAAGCUUAAUUUAUUAUACUAACAAAUACCAUAAACAACUACAAACCCAUCUACACUACUGAAUGACUCUAUAAUGAUAUAGAACUCAUCAUGCUAGAACUAGUAACAAGAAUAUAUUCUCCAAAAUGUAAGCCUAAACCAAAAUGGAAUCUACACUGGUAAUCAACGAACAUGAACUAAUAACAAGAACAUACCUAGAAAAUUCUGUUAAUAUAUUCGUCAACCUUACACUAGAACAUUCCUGGAAAGAUUAAAAGAGAGAGAAGGAACUCGGCAAACUUUAACCCCGCCUGUUUACCAAAAACAUCGCUUCUUGAUAAUAAUAAGAAGUCCUGCCUGCCCAGUGACAAAUUAAACGGCCGCGGUACCCUAACCGUGCAAAGGUAGCAUAAUCACUUGUUCCUUAAAUAGGGACUCGUAUCAACGGCAUCACGAGGGUUAUACUGUCUCCCCUCUCUAAUCAGUGAAACUGAUCCCCCCAUGAAAAAGUGGGGAUAACAUUAUAAGACGAGAAGACCCCAUGGAGCUUUAAACUCAAUAGCAACUCAGCAAAAUUCUUAAGCUACAAAAUAUGCUAAUAGUUUUAGGUUGGGGCGACCACGGAGUAAAAAUUAACCUCCGUAACGAAAAGAUUUAAAUCUUUACCCAAGAGUUACUACUCUAAGAAUUAGAAAACUAAAGGAUUAUGACCCGAUUAUCGAUCAAUGAACCAAGUUACCCUGGGGAUAACAGCGCAAUCUACUUCAAGAGUCCAUAUCGACAAGUAGGCUUACGACCUCGAUGUUGGAUCAGGGUAUCCUAGUGGUGCA
rnacentral:rRNA from 1 species